AGUGGGACUGCUGGGUCAUAUGGUCAGGGUAUAUUUAAUUUUAUAAGAAAGUGCCAAACUGUUUCCCAAAAUGACUGUACCAUUUUACAUUCCUACCAGCAAU
rnacentral:pre_miRNA from 1 species